ACUGAGGCGAAAUCUAGCGAUCAAUGGCGGGAAAUUUUGAAAAGCUGUGUGGCAGAAGAGAGUGAAUGAAUUUCGCCAACAGGACAAGUACAACUAAAAACUACUCACAGACGGGAAUACAACAAUAAAACAACAACGAGAGAAGGAUUUAAACAGCGGACAUGUAUUCUCAAACAAAAAUAGGCAUCCUUCUGAUAAUUAUUACUGCGUACUAUCGAGAGUAAAUUAAAGGAUGUGAACUUCUGGAAGCGAUUUCAAACAUAGGUUUGGUGAUAAUCGGCAAAGAAUUAAUCCGGAGUGGUCCAUGACUUUCAAUAAGAUCGAUUGCCAUCUGUUGGAAGUACACCCUGAUCCACAAUUGGAAGUGGACUAGAUCUAUACCCUCGAGAAGGCUACACACCACCAUCCAUGCGGCCUGGUCAGCGAAGAAAUUCAUGGAGCAGGUUUUCAUCAGGAGAUGAUGGCUGGUAUGGUGGGUUAGUUCUAUAGGAGAAAGUUGCUUGUAACUUGAAAGGCAUCCGCCCAUCUGCACGCAGCUAUCUGAUGGUGAGAUGAGGUCUGAUGAUGUCACUGUCGAAUGGCCAUGCAAGUCGACUGACUUCCUCCAUGCAUGAAAAGACACAGUUUUACUAUGAGAAGAAGUAGGACGUGGAUGGUAGACUUCUGUCGACGAGUAUCCUGAAAAUACCAUGGUGGAAAGCUCUCCCGACGUAGUCCAUCAUGGUGAGGAGGUUAUCAAAUUCAAGUUGAUCUUCCGCUUGCCUGAGGAACCCUGGGGAGGGAGCAGGGAAGGGAGGGUGGGGUACUGCCAUUUAAGGUGGACAACAACAUCAUCUCUUCCAGAAAAGCGUGAAAAGUUAUUCGCUUUUCCUGGCCGAGCGAUGUAGGAGCGUAAAGUAAAAAGGAUAUGAAAAUUUCCAAACUCAAGAAGUAAUCCCCAACUCUGGAAAACACGGGAAAGCAUGAAAAAUACUUGUUUAGGGCGUGAGCCCUUUGAGAAGGCAUCUAAAAUGAAGAAUGUUUACUUUAGGGUCAAUUUUGAAAGUCCAUAGACGAACAUCCAUUCAUCCAUCCAUCCAUUCACCCAUUUAUUCAUUCAUCUAUCCAUCCGUCCAACCAUCAAUUCAUCUAUCCAUCCAUUCAUUAAUGCAUGUAUGCUUUCAUAGGUAUUCAUCCAUCCAUUCAUUCAUUCAUUCUCUCACUCACUUAGCCAUUCAUUCAUUCGUUCGUUCAUUCACUCACUUAGCCAUUCAUUCAUUCAUUCACUUAGCCAUUCAUUCAUUCACUCAAUUAGCCAUUCAUUGAUUUGUGUAUGACCACAUGCAUUCAUUUAUUUAUUCAUCUAUCCAUCCAUCCAUCCAUUCAUCUAUCCAUCGAUUCAUCCAUCCAUCCAUCCAUCCAUCCAUUCAUUCAUUCAUUCGUUCAUUUAUCAAACCAUUCAUUUAUUCAUAUACAAAUGUCAAAUGAACAAAGAUUAUAUAUUGUAAUUUUUUAUGUUGUCUGAUAUUGAUUACUUCCCCUCUUGGACUAAUACAGUGCUUCUGCUACAUGUACUUUUUUUAGGGUGAUUAUCUUUAUUCACUCUUGGUGCACAGGUAAAAUGUAGAAGUGUAGAAAAUUUGUAGACCUUAACCCCCUCUCAGAUGCAAAUUCAGAUAACAUAUUUGAAAAAAAAAAGACUGUGAUAAGGCAAAUAUUUCAAUAGACCGUAAGAAAAAGGUUUAUAACCAACAAAUUAAGGAUAGACAUUUCAUUCACGAAAAAAAGGUCUUCACUUUCAAAGGGGGGGGGGGGCACUUCUGUUUUAACAGCACUGAUUUUUUAAAUUACAAAUUUUAAUUGCGCUUCUCAAAGGGGUGGGGGUUACGGGGUGGCUUUGCCCCACCCCCUGGAUCCGCCAGUGGACCGUUUUGUAAAGUGAAUUAAUUUUACGGACAUUUCCAUCUCUUUUUUUUUUGGGGGGGCGGAUUGGGGUGGGACUAAGUAAUGAUAUAUUUCUGAUAUCUGCUCUUAACGAAUUAGUCCGUUCUGGUAAUUAUCACCUGAUAAUCUUCAAAAAUAAGUUUUACAGGUAUAGAAUUUGACAAGCAAAAAUGUUUCGUUGUAUGCUUUUGAUUUCUCUCGUCUCCAAGAAGAAUAAAAUACAGUAGGGCUAUUUCUGAAGUGCACUUGGUAAAUCCGAACUAUUAGUUGCUGUGUAAAUGAAAUAUGACCAAAGUUUUAAAGAAUUUAUUUUGCCUUGAUGAUUUAUUAAUAAAUGAUUGUGUUACAAC